UUUAGGGAAAGGAGAGGGGGAGGGGUUUGGUUUGGAAUUCCAACAAGUUACUCUUGCUUCCGAAUCAAGCUUUGCUGAAGAGCCCUGACAGAUUUCAGCUUCCUCCUCUAUAACACACAGGGCCAUGAUGACAGGUUCAGCAAACAUGCUCUACCUGAUGAAGCCCUGGUGGAAGGAAGUGGGCAUUCCAUCUCCCAAGACUGCAGCAGCAUUCUCCCUCUCUCUCUCUCUCUCUCUCUCUCUCUCUCUCUCUCUCUCUCUCUCUCUCUCUCUCCUCUCCUCUCCCUCCUCUCCUCUCUCCUCUCUCUUUCUCUCUCUCUCUCCUCUCCUCUCCUCUCCUCUCCUCUCCUCUCUCUCUCUCUCUCUCCUCUCUCUCUCUCUCCUCUCUCUCUCUCUCUCUCUCUCUCUCUCUCUCUCUCUCUCUCUCUCUCUCUCUCUCUCUCUCUGUAACAUGGGUAUCCAACCACACCACAGAACUCCCUACAGGGCCAAGAGGAAACACCUAUGUCUUGUUGUGGGUCUAAUUGUGUGUCCCUUCCCCCAAAGGCCCAACCCCGUUUCUGAAAGGCGUGUCCUUUAGAAACAGGGACCAUGGAAGUAAAACAUUUAGGAUGAUGCCAUGGAGUAGAGAGGUCCUUAAUUCAGGACAACUGGUGUUCUUCCAAGAAGAAACUUGGACACAGUCACAGAAGACACCAUGGAAACAGGCAGGGGCUGGAGGGAUACAAAGAAAAGCCAAAGGUUUCCAAGGACAGAGGCCAGCCACCCCUGAAGUCAAGAGAGGAAGAUUGGUUGGACACAGGGUCUCAGAUGGAGCACAGCCCUGCUGAAGCCUUCAUUCAGAUUGCUGGCCCUUGGGACUAUGAAAAGACCAUUUUCUGUUGCUUUAAACUGUCCAAUUUGGGGACUCUUUCCCAGUUGCCCUGGAAGUCACAGGCGUUUUUAACAGUAUAGCUUCUGGGACAGGAGAGCCCUCCUCUGCCUCAGCUGACACAGAGGUACCUGGCUAGCCCCAUGUCACUGCUCUCAGCAGGGACUGGGGUUCCUGCACCCAGCCUCCCCUAGUCUCCUGGGAUCCGCAACUUCCUCAGAGGACACAUAAAGAGUCUGGGCUGGAAUCUGAACCCACGGCGAAUCCUCUGAAUGCUGAAGGAUGUCACAUAUCCCAAAUUGGCCUUGGAUUCCAGACCUUCCUGCCUAAUCCUACAAGUGGGCUUCUUCACAGCCUCCAAGAGAAAGACCUUUCCCUGCGAUGCAAGUAGGCUAUUGAGGUUUGAUCAUUUAUCCAAGGUUUAUGGCUUUGAGGCUGGACUUAGGUCAGGAUCUGAGCUCUGGAAGCUGGGAGGGGUGGGACUUCAUAGAGACUCAGGUCUCUCUGUGCACCAGAAUUCGCUGAACUGGAGAACUCCCCAACCCUCUUCCGAAACAGCUCUCUUCAGGCUGGGGGAAGAACAAUUUAACUUCGGCUGCUGGCUGUUGCAACUCCGCAGGUUCCUUCCCACCUAUGCACCUAGGCAGAGCUGGAAGGAGAACAGCUAUGGCGCUGGAGGGCAGCUGCCCCGGACUCUGGUUUCUGGUUCUGGCUGCACGGCUAGAAGGUUGGACUCCUGCUUCAAUCUAGGAGCACCCGCUUUUCAUCUGGGAAAUGGUGCGAGCCUCUGAGGAAUUAUCUGUGGAAAUUCACAAGAAAGCAUCCAGCCGGUAGCAGGUGCUAGGUGGAAGCCGGCCCCCAGUCACUCUUAGUUCCAAGCAUCCAGUUCUGUUCGGUCCAGGUCAGUGAGUCCAGCCUCCCAGGCGUCGUGAAUCUGCUAGGGUCAAUGCUUCAGGGUACCAGGGUCUUUCAGUCGGCACUGAAAUCUUCCUAGACUCUUAGGUCCCACAGAACUUCCUGGCUUAGAGGGACAGGAGAUGCCUCAGGUUUCUUGGGCUUUCCUAAAUUUGGACAAGCACGGGGUUGUGUGAGCGGCGGGGGGUAGGGAGGAUAGGGUACUGGGGAGGUGGUGGUGCUAAAUACCUGCAUUUUAAAAUGGUUCUACCACUUUCUGGCUCAGAGACCUGAGGAAAUGACUCCUGCUUGAGCCUGGGUUUCACUAUCUAUGGA
rnacentral:lncRNA from 1 species